AAACUAUUAAUGUUUUGUUUUGAAAACAAAAAUAAAGAAAAAUUUUUCUUGUAGUUUG
rnacentral:tRNA from 1 species